UCAAAAUGCGAUAUAGAUAGAGCUGAGCAAUGUAUAUACAUUAUAUCGAUAUCGUAAUAUAAGACUAGAUAUUGUCUUAGAUUUUGGCUGGUUAUAUAUUAAUAUGGCAUUAGUGUUGUCUUCUCCUGGUUUUAAAGGCUGCAUUACAGGAAAGUGAUGUCAUUUUCUGAACUUACCAGAAUGUUUUAACAGUUCUUUUAUUUGCCUUUACCCACUUAGUCAUUAUAUCCACAUUACUGAUGAUUAUUUAUCAAAAAUCUCAUUGUGUAAAUAUUUUGUGAAACACCAAUAUUCAAUACUACCAUAUUGUUGCAGUAUCAAUAUUGAGGUAUUUGGUCAAAAUUAUUGUGAUAUGUAAUUUUCUCCAUAUAGCCCAACCCUAUGAG